UACGGGGGGGGGCAAGCGUUGUUCGGAUUUACUGGGCGUAAAGGGCGCGUAGGCGGUCAGCACAAGUCAGUUGUGAAAUCUCCGGGCUUAACUCGGAAAGGUCAACUGAUACUGUGCGACUAGAGUGCGGAAGGGGCAACUGGAAUUCUUGGUGUAGCGGUGAAAUGCGUAGAUAUCAAGAGGAACACCUGCGGCGAAGGCGGGUUGCUGGGCCGACACUGACGCUGAGGAGCGAAAGCGUGGGGAGCGAACAGG
rnacentral:rRNA from 1 species